rnacentral:rRNA from 1 species
AUUGAACGCUGGCGGCAGGCCUAACACAUGCAAGUCGAGCGGAUGAAGGGAGCUUGCUCCUGGAUUCAGCGGCGGACGGGUGAGUAAUGCCUAGGAAUCUGCCUGGUAGUGGGGGAUAACGUCCGGAAACGGGCGCUAAUACCGCAUGCGCCCUGAGGGAGAAAGUGGGGGAUCUUCGGACCUCACGCUAUCAGAUGAGCCUAGGUCGGAUUAGCUAGUUGGUGGGGUAAAGGCCUACCAAGGCGACGAUCCGUAACUGGUCUGAGAGGAUGAUCAGUCACACUGGAACUGAGACACGGUCCAGACUCCUACGGGAGGCAGCAGUGGGGAAUAUUGGACAAUGGGCGAAAGCCUGAUCCAGCCAUGCCGCGUGUGUGAAGAAGGUCUUCGGAUUGUAAAGCACUUUAAGUUGGGAGGAAGGGCAGUAAGUUAAUACCUUGCUGUUUUGACGUUACCAACAGAAUAAGCACCGGCUAACUUCGUG